rnacentral:rRNA from 1 species
UACAGAGGAUGCAAGCGUUAUCCGGAAUUAUUGGGCGUAAAGAGCUCGUAGGCGGCCUGUCGCGUCGGAUGUGAAAGCCCGGGGCUUAACCCCGGGUCUGCAUUCGAUACGGGCAGGCUAGAGUUCGGUAGGGGAGAUCGGAAUUCCUGGUGUAGCGGUGAAAUGCGCAGAUAUCAGGAGGAACACCGGUGGCGAAGGCGGAUCUCUGGGCCGAUACUGACGCUGAGGAGCGAAAGCGUGGGGAGCGAACAGG